rnacentral:rRNA from 1 species
CACGUAGGGGGCAAGCGUUGUCCGGAUUUAUUGGGCGUAAAGGGCUCGUAGGCGGUUCGACAAGUCACUUGUGAAAUCUCCGGGCUUAACUCGGAACGGUCAAGUGAUACUGUCGGACUAGAGUACAGAAGGGGCAACUGGAAUUCUCGGUGUAGCGGUGAAAUGCGUAGAUAUCGAGAGGAACACCUGCGGCGAAGGCGGGUUGCUGGGCUGAUACUGACGCUGAGGCGCGAAAGCCAGGGGAGCGAACGGG